UUUCCGUAGGUGAACCUGCGGAAGGAUCAUUAUUGUAUAACCGAGGUGCGAGGCCUGUCGCUGCACCGAAAGGUCGUGCACGCCCGAGUGCCCUCACACACAUCCAUCUCACCCCUAUGUGCACCACCGCGCGGGUCCCCCUUUGGCUUGUUCGGAGGGGGGCUUACGUUUUCACACAAACUUUGUAUGCAGUGUAGAAUGUAUUUUUUGUUUUUGCGAUCACGCAAUCAAUACAACUUUCAACAACGGAUCUCUUGGCUCUC
rnacentral:misc_RNA from 1 species